GGGGUUGUGGCUCAGCGGUAGAGCACUCGCCUAGCAUGUGCGAGGCCCUGGGUUGGAUCCUCAGCACCACA
rnacentral:tRNA from 1 species